rnacentral:rRNA from 1 species
CAUACAGGUCGAGCAAGGAUGAAAAUCGGACUUAGUGAUCCGGUGGUUCUGCGUGGAAGGGCCAUCGCUCAACGGAUAAAAGCUUCCCUGGGGAUAACAGGCUUAUCUCCCCCAAGAGUCCACAUCGACGGGGAGGUUUGGCACCUCGAUGUCGGCUCAUCCCAUCCUGGGGCUGUAGUAGGUCCCAAGGGUUGGGCUGUUCGCCCAUUAAAGUGGUACGCGAGCUGGGUUCAGAACGUCGUGAGACAGUUCGGUCCCUAUCCGUCGCAG